rnacentral:rRNA from 1 species
GCCUGACGGAGCGACGCCGCGUGUGGGAUGAAGGCCUUCGGGUUGUAAACCACUGUCACACGUUAAGAACACCGGGGAGACAAUAUCAAUCCGGAUGACAAAGGCGCGAGAGGAAGCCACGGCUAACUCUGUGCCAGCAGCCGCGGUAAGACAGAGGUGGCAAGCGUUGCUCGGAGUUACUGGGCAUAAAGGGCGCGUAGGCGGUCGUGCACGUCGAGGGUGAAAUCCCCGGGCUUAACCCGGGAACUGCCUUUGAUACGGCGCGACUCGAGUGCGGGAGGGGAGAGUGGAACUCCUGGUGGAGCGGUGAAAUGCGUAGAUAUCAGGAGGAACGCCGGUGGCGAAAGCGACUCUCUGGUCCGCAACUGACGCUGAGGCGCGAAAGCUAGGGGAGCAAACGGGAUUAGAUACCCCGGUAGUCCUAGCCCUAAACUAUGAGCACUAGGUAGCGGCAGGUCCGACUUGUCGCUGCUGAAGCAAAUAUAUUAAGUGCUCCGCCUGGGGAGUAUGGCCGCAAGGCUAAAACCCAAAGGAAUUGACGGGGGCU